UCCUCCCAAGAAUGCCAGAACAUAUUUUAGGAUAGUAAGGAAGCCUCCUCUGCUCUCUUACAAAAAAGAAAUCUGAAGAGACCUGAUGCUCCCCAGCGUUUUUUCCUGCUGUUCGGUUUCCUUGUUCCCACCUACGAAACCCAUUGUUCUGCCAUUCUCCAAAGCGAUUUGAGACUAAAUAAGUCCAUUUACAAUGGUGACAUCAAUGCCUAAGGUUUUCUUUAAUCUUUUUCAAUUAAGAAGUUGACAAAAUGGGAAAUUGUUAAAUUACGCUUGGCCAAAAGGUUUUUCAAUACACAAUAAACUGUAACCCAACUUGAUGUGUAAACAGAUUGCAACCUACUCUUGUCACAAGUAGCUGAGCCUCAGCCAAUCACAGCAGCUGAACUUCAGUCAACUACAGGCAGCCAACUGUAUAAACCAGGCUCAACUAAGGCAAACACCCAGAUGUAGCCAAUCCAGAUGUUUCUGUACAUUGCUCCCACUUUGUGUAUGUUACUUUCCUUUUUCCGUCUGUAAAUGUCAUCCAAUCAUGUGGCAACCCUGGAGUCACUUUGAGCCUAUUCUGGUUCCGUGGGCUGCCCCAUUUUCAAAUUGUUUUUUGCUCAGUGAAUCUCUGUUAAAUUUAAUUUUUCUAAUUUUUUUUUAACCAAAGAUAAUAUUCAACAAAUUUGUAGGUCUCUUUGGUGAAAACCUUACACACACACACACACACAAAUAUAUACAUAUACACACAAUAUAUAAUAUGUAUAUCUAUAUAUGUACUAAAGUAAAUAUAUAUGAUGCUGUAUAUGUAUAUAUAUUUUUAUACACAUUUCUAAAAUUUUCAUCCAAAUGAUUAAGAUAUUCACUGAAUAUUAUCUUGUGGAAUAAAAGUUGACUCUACUUUGCAUACGGAAAAACUUGAGCCAUCAUGUUUAUCUAGUUUCUGAACAAAAUAGAUACAAAGCUAUACUUUUAA
rnacentral:lncRNA from 10 species